GUAACUAAAUUCUAACCAUAGAAAAAUAUUUUUUUUUAUAUUUUUCCUGAAAUUUUUUUACAAUUUACAAUUGAAUAGUAAUUUUUGAGAAUAAUCUGAUUUAAAUCAGUUUGGUGAUAAAUCUGAUGGUUAAGUUAAAAUAUAUGCAAUAAUACAGUGAAGAGAGAUUGCUAUGAAGAACAAAGGAGAAUACAUCAAGUAAAAUGGAAAGAAAUAGGGAUAAUUAUCUUUUGGGAACAUGCGUACGGGUCAUAGAUAUAAUUUCGUAAGAAAACCUCACCGAUUGUACCCUGCUUUUCAAUGAACCAAAAAAGAGUAACCUGGAGCAACAAUAUUGCAAUCGACAAAACCAAUAUGAGAUGGUUUCUGUUUUGGAGUAUUAUUGUUAUGAAGAUAUGUUUGUAGUCAAUUUGUAGUGGAUAAGAAAUAUAUGCGAGUUACUGGAAAUAUGAGCAUCCAUGCAGUAUUCAUCAGAAAGAAAAUUCAAUAGAAAAAUCAAGAAUCCAUCCAAGUGAAUUGUAUUUAUAGUGGUCUUUUUCUAAUAAAUCAUAAUAAAGUUUU